ACAAUGGAUGUAGAGGAAAGUGGCGGACGGGUGAGUAACGCGUGAGGAACCUGCCUUGAAGAGGGGGACAACAGUUGGAAACGACUGCUAAUACCGCAUGAUGCAGUUGGGUCGCAUGAUUCUUAUGCCAAAGAUUUAUCGCUUCAAGAUGGCCUCGCGUCUGAUUAGCUAGUUGGCGGGGUAAUGGCCCACCAAGGCGACGAUCAGUAGCCGGACUGAGAGGUUGAACGGCCACAUUGGGACUGAGAUACGGCCCAGACUCC
rnacentral:rRNA from 1 species